ACCCAUAUUUCUUUUCUUUCCAGGCCACACGUUUUUUUUUUUUUCUCUCUCACUAUUCUCUCGGCCGACUCUCUCUCUCUCACCUCUCCUCCAAACUUCUCUCUUCGAAUUCAUCGCCUUAGAAUGAGAUUUUGACAAAAAUCCCAAGUACUAAAGUUGUUCUACGAGACGAGAGGUUUCUAUCCAUCCGAGAAAAUUCAUGAUCGGAGCAUUUCGAAGUUUCCUCCAUGUUCGGGCAUGCUUCUAACCUUCGAGGUACUCGCCAUGGGACUUAGCUUGAAUUGCAUGGAGUGUAUAUUGAGAUGUCUCUUGAGAGCUUCAUUGAAAUUAUUAAGGAAUUGUUUAUCAUCUAGUCUAAAUCACGUUGUGUACUUCAUCCGCAAUUGAAGGUUGUACCUUUUGGUGUGAACAUAUGUAAAGCUAUGUAUGAACUCAUCUCCUUGAUUAUUGUGAAGCCCUUUUUAAUGGAGGACAUUUGGGAGACUUUAUGUAAAAAAAAUUUAGAUUGAAGAGACUUUGAUU